UACGUAGGGUGCGAGCGUUGUCCGGAAUUACUGGGCGUAAAGAGCUCGUAGGUGGUUUGUCGCGUUGUUCGUGAAAUCUCACGGCUUAACUGUGAGCGUGCGGGCGAUACGGGCAGACUAGAGUACUGCAGGGGAGACUGGAAUUCCUGGUGUAGCGGUGGAAUGCGCAGAUAUCAGGAGGAACACCGGUGGCGAAGGCGGCAUCCUGGACCGGCAUUGACGCUGAGGCGCGAAAGCCAGGGGAGCAAACGGG
rnacentral:rRNA from 1 species